UACACGUAAUAAAUGGAAGCGAGUGGAAAGGAGGUUGCAUGAUAAUGAGGAUUGACCACAUUUAAAGUGAAAGUUCCUCCCUGUCAUCAAUUCAAAGAUGUCUGACGAGAGUGGGAAGUUUUUGCUUUCCAGUGUAGUUGUUUUUUCUCAUGAGUAUUGUCUUUUCUCAGUAUUCAGCACAAGCCCCUUGUUUUUCUUUGACAACGAUCAUGAAUCACCUCCGCCAAGAUAUGAUUUUGCUGGAGCUACCGAUUGGUCUUGUAUAACUACUUGAUUUGUCGUGUACUAACAUAUGACUAAGUUUAGUUAUUACUAAUUGCAUGUAUCUUUUUUAGACACCCCAUCACCAGGAAUGUGAAUAAAAGUUAUAGGAUACGAUUAUGAUAAUAAAUGAGAUUCUUUCAGACGCUUGGGGUCCACCACCUCAGUAUUAUCCCGUGUGGCCGCAAUAUUGUAUGUAUUAUUGAAUGCGAAUAUAGUGUCAUAUAAAGAUAAGUCGUCUUUC